AGGCGGAGGUAGGAACGGAGGAAUAGACGGUGGUGCGAUACCCGCUACACCACCGACGAUCAGCCGUUACCACCACCGCUA